rnacentral:rRNA from 1 species
GCUCAGGACGAACGCUGGCGGCAUGCCUAAUACAUGCAAGUCGAGCGGAGUUCUGUUGAAAGCUUGCUUUCAACAGGAUUUAGCGGCGGACGGGUGAGUAACACGUAGGCAACCUGCCCCUUAGCCUGGGAUAACUACCGGAAACGGUAGCUAAUACCGGAUAAUUCCUUUCCCCUCCUGGGGAGAGGAUGAAAGACGGAGCAAUCUGUCGCUGAGGGAUGGGCCUGCGGCGCAUUAGCUAGUUGGUGGGGUAAUGGCUCACCAAGGCGACGAUGCGUAGCCGACCUGAGAGGGUGAACGGCCACACUGGGACUGAGACACGGCCCAGACUCCUACGGGAGGCAGCAGUAGGGAAUCUUCCGCAAUGGGCGCAAGCCUGACGGAGCAAUGCCGCGUGAGUGAUGAAGGUUUUCGGAUCGUAAAGCUCUGUUGCCAGGGAAGAACGUCUUAUAGAGUAACUGCUAUAAGAGUGACGGUACCUGAGAAGAAAGCCCCGGCU